rnacentral:rRNA from 1 species
UACGAAGGGGGCUAGCGUUGCUCGGAAUCACUGGGCGUAAAGGGCGCGUAGGCGGGCUCUCAAGUCCGGGGUGAAAUCUUUCGGCUCAACCGGAAAAUAGCCUUGGAUACUGGGAGUCUCGAGCGAGGUAGGGGCGGGUGGAACUUCCGGUGGAGCGGUGAAAUGCGUUGAUAUCGGAAGGAACGCCGGUGGCGAAAGCGACCCGCUGGACCUCUUCUGACGCUGAGGCGCGAAAGCCAGGGGAGCAAACGGG